rnacentral:rRNA from 1 species
CAUCUCCGGGGGUAGAGCACUGUUUCGGCAAGGGGGUCAUCCCGACUUACCAACCCGAUGCAAACUGCGAAUACCGGAGAAUGUUAUCACGGGAGACACACGGCGGGUGCUAACGUCCGUCGUGAAGAGGGAAACAACCCAGACCGCCAGCUAAGGUCCCAAAGUCAUGGUUAAGUGGGAAACGAUGUGGGAAGGCCCAGACAGCCAGGAUGUUGGCUUAGAAGCAGCCAUCAUUUAAAGAAAGCGUAAUAGCUCACUGGUCGAGUCGGCCUGCGCGGAAGAUGUAACGGGGCUAAACCAUGCACCGAAGCUGCGGCAGCGACGCUUAUGCGUUGUUGGGUAGGGGAGCGUUCUGUAAGCCUGCGAAGGUGUGCUGUGAGGCAUGCUGGAGGUAUCAGAAGUGCGAAUGCUGACAUAAGUAACGAUAAAGCGGGUGAAAAGCCCGCUCGCCGGAAGACCAAGGGUUCCUGUCCAACGUUAAUCGGGGCAGGGUGAGUCGACCCCUAAGGCGAGGCCGAAAGGCGUAGUCGAUGGGAAACAGGUUAAUAUUCCUGUACUUGGUGUUACUGCGAAGGGGGGACGGAGAAGGCUAUGUUGGCCGGGCGACGGUUGUCCCGGUUUAAGCGUGUAGGCUGGUUUUCCAGGCAAAUCCGGAAAAUCAAGGCUGAGGCGUGAUGACGAGGCACUACGGUGCUGAAGCAACAAAUGCCCUGCUUCCAGGAAAAGCCUCUAAGCAUCAGGUAACAUCAAAUCGUACCCCAAACCGACACAGGUGGUCAGGUAGAGAAUACCAAGGCGCUUGAGAGAACUCGGGUGAAGGAACUAGGCAAAAUGGUGCCGUAACUUCGGGAGAAGGCACGCUGAUAUGUAGGUGAAGCGACUUGCUCGUGGAGCUGAAAUCAGUCGAAGAUACCAGCUGGCUGCAACUGUUUAUUAAAAACACAGCACUGUGCAAACACGAAAGUGGACGUAUACGGUGUGACGCCUGCCCGGUGCCGGAAGGUUAAUUGAUGGGGUCAGCGCAAGCGAAGCUCUUGAUCGAAGCCCCGGUAAACGGCGGCCGUAACUAUAACGGUCCUAAGGUAGCGAAAUUCCUUGUCGGGUAAGUUCCGACCUGCACGAAUGGCGUAAUGAUGGCCAGGCUGUCUCCACCCGAGACUCAGUGAAAUUGAACUCGCUGUGAAGAUGCAGUGUACCCGCGGCAAGACGGAAAGACCCCGUGAACCUUUACUAUAGCUUGACACUGAACAUUGAGCCUUGAUGUGUAGGAUAGGUGGGAGGCUUUGAAGUGUGGACGCCAGUCUGCAUGGAGCCGACCUUGAAAUACCACCCUUUAAUGUUUGAUGUUCUAACGUGGACCCGUAAUCCGGGUUGCGGACAGUGUCUGGUGGGUAGUUUGACUGGGGCGGUCUCCUCCUAAAGAGUAACGGAGGAGCACGAAGGUUGGCUAAUCCUGGUCGGACAUCAGGAGGUUAGUGCAAUGGCAUAAGCCAGCUUGACUGCGAGCGUGACGGCGCGAGCAGGUGCGAAAGCAGGUCAUAGUGAUCCGGUGGUUCUGAAUGGAAGGGCCAUCGCUCAACGGAUAAAAGGUACUCCGGGGAUAACAGGCUGAUACCGCCCAAGAGUUCAUAUCGACGGCGGUGUUUGGCACCUCGAUGUCGGCUCAUCACAUCCUGGGGCUGAAGUAGGUCCCAAGGGUAUGGCUGUUCGCCAUUUAAAGUGGUACGCGAGCUGGGUUUAGAACGUCGUGAGACAGUUCGGUCCCUAUCUGCCGUGGGCGCUGGAGAACUGAGGGGGGCUGCUCCUAGUACGAGAGGACCGGAGUGGACGCAUCACUGGUGUUCGGGUUGUCAUGCCAAUGGCACUGCCCGGUAGCUAAAUGCGGAAGAGAUAAGUGCUGAAAGCAUCUAAGCACGAAACUUGCCCCGAGAUGAGUUCUCCCUGACUCCUUGAGAGUCCUGAAGGAACGUUGAAGACGACGACGUUGAUAGGCCGGGUGUGUAAGCGCAGCGAUGCGUUGAGCUAACCGGUACUAAUGAACCGUGAGG